CUAACUGUGUUUCAGCCAAUGAGCUGUAGGAUUACUGCGAUGUACCGAGCUCUAGUUGCGGCAUAAAGCGUGAAACCAGCAUAGGAGUCGCGCUGGGAGAUUACGGGGCAGAAUUAACAAUGGAGGCGGACAAGAAUGAAUCCAGAGGUAAGGUUGGAUCUCAGGCCUUGCCAGCUGGUCAAGACAAAGUUGACAGUGUGCCUCACACUCCAUGCACCAUCCUUGAGAGCUUACCCAAGUCUGUGAAGAGAAGAGUCAAUGCCUUAAAGCAGCUGCAGGUGCAGUGUGCUCACAUAGAAGCCAAAUUCUAUGAGGAGGUCCACGAGCUGGAGAGAAAGUAUGCCACCCUCUAUCAGCCCCUCUUUGACAAGAGAAGAGAUGUGGUAACUGGCACAGUUGAACCUACAGACGAGGAGUGCGAGUGGCACAGCGACAGAGAAGAGGAGGAGGAGCUGUCUGAGGAGCUGAAGAAAAAGGCCUGCGUGGAGGAGGCGAAAGAGGAGGGGGCUCCCGAGGAAGACCCUAAGGGCAUCCCAGAGUUCUGGCUCACCAUCUUCAGAAGCGUAGACAUGCUCAGCGACAUGCUGCAGGAGCAUGAUGAACCCAUCCUGAAACACUUGCAAGACAUCAAAGUCAAAUUCUCAGAGCCCGGACAGCCUAUGAGUUUCACGUUAGAGUUCCACUUUGAGCCAAACAGCUACUUUACCAAUACAGUGCUGACCAAGGUGUACAAAAUGAAGUCGGAGCCGGACCAGGCCGAUCCCUUCUCCUUUGAAGGGCCAGAAAUAGUGGACUGUGAGGGCUGUGAAAUAAACUGGAAUAAAGGCAAAGACGUAACAGUGAAAACAAUAAAGAAAAAGCAGAAGCAUAAGGGACGGGGUACAGUGAGAACCAUCACCAAGCAAGUGCCCAAUGACUCCUUCUUCAACUUCUUUAAGCCCAUCAAAGUUUCGUCAGAUGGAGAGAUGGAUGAGGACUCGGAGUUCACCCUGGCUGCAGAUUUUGAGAUUGGCCAUUUCUUCCGUGAGCGGGUUGUUCCCCGGGCGGUGCUGUACUUCACUGGAGAGGCACUGGAGGACGAUGAGAGUUUUGAAGAGGAGGAAGUUGAGGAAGGAGAAGAAGAGGACCAUGGUGAAGAUGGUGAUGAAGAUGACGAGGGAGAAUUUGACCCCAAGGUUAGUUUAAAUUUACAAUAUUUAAAUUUCAAAAUGCCAUAUAAUAGCAUAUGGUAAUUGCAUAAAUAUCACACAUACCAGUCUGUCGAGUUGAGAUAAGUCCAUAUGAAGCAUUGAGGUCAUGUGUGGCUGUCUGACGACUGUGGAGAGCUUUUGACCAUUAUAAGCAAUAACAAGUUCUGUCAUUUCCAGCUGGAUAAAACGUUGCCGUCAUCUGAAGCUGGGUAGCAGGCAUCCUGUUUUUAAGACCUGUUAAGGCUUGCAUCAGUUUUGAAAAGGGUGUUGAAAACUUCACUCAAGUAAAUGUUUAAUACAUAGGAACUGAUUUUUCAAGUAAAACUGACAAUUGACAGAGGAAAGACACAUGCAUUUGUGUGUUGGAAAAUGAAACUGUUCUCUACUGACUUCUAGCAAAAAUACAAUGCAGGUAUACUGAAUUUCUCAUGCUACGGCGGCAGAUCUAUUCAAGGUAUAGGAAGGAAAUUUCUUUGGGAAUGCGUCUGAAAUUUCCUGUUUAUGACAAAAAUAUCCUUCAUUUCUCGGUGGAAUUCCCGUCUUAAGGUUUAAUGAGGGCUUUGAGGGGGGAGACCAAAUGAUCAAUUUCUUUUCAAAUUUCAGCCUGUUUUCAGACAAAACUUUCACAUGAUUUAUUCUAAAGCCUGUUAAUGUGAAACUGAUUGCACAAGGCUUUCUGAAUUUAUUAUAAUUGAGAAUCAGGGGGCUGCUUUCCUCUCAUUUUUAUUAGUGGAAUUAAUCCUGUUUGAUUAUGAUUGACAUUGUUUUUCCUACCUAUCCCCACCCCGUUACCCCAUUACAGGCAUAAUUCAUACUCACUUCAUGCAUUUCUAGAAAGAAGAUCCACAACCUGCUGAGUGCAAGCAGCAGUAAUAUGGGGAGCCCACCGCUGUCACGCUAUGGCCCGUGUUAAUUUGGACAGUGGUUUCAGUCUGCAGAGAACGACCACCAUGCUGCGGAUCUGCCCCAUCAGAUUUAACACACACAUAUAACAAAGUGUUUUUAAAAGUGCAUGAUCGUUUUCUGCCCCAGUCCCCCAGCCCCCUGUACAGAGUAAACAUUUUCUCAAAAAAUAGUAAUAAAACGCUGUAAAUAAACUUACGAUUGGGUGAGGCAAGAUGAUGCUGCAGUCUAUGCCAUGGGUGAACGUAUGCAAAAGAAACUCCGAACCACAGCUUCCGAUGGAAUUAGCCAGAGCCCUGUGAUCAGCACCACAUUCCAGACGCCCUGUUAGAAGAUUUCGACAACCCAAGAUGUAAUAAGCUAAUCCAACCAUUGACUUGACAUAGGUUACUCAGGGUUUUUUAUGCCAAGAAAAACAAAAAAAAGUGUAUUAAAAAAUCUAACAUACUGUCGACAAGAUCUUUAUAUGUCUUCGGGGUUACCUAUUUAAAUUGUUUUUCAUCUGCUAAUGACACUUUUUAAAAACCACAUUUCUCUUAUUCAUGAGGUAUUUAUAUUUGUUUGCUUUUGAACAGGUUUGAACUGUGUAUGAUGGUCUUUGGGGGCUCUGUUUGAAGGAGGAGCUGGCUGGUCUCCUUCCGAUGGGCCUUAUAUUGUGAAAUACAGCCACAUUUUAACUUCGGCCACUGUUAUACUUCCUCUUGGAUGCUGUUACAUUAACACCCGUGAGCUUGCUAAUAAAUUAUCUUUGUCAUGUUGCCAAAUUUUCAUGGGUAAAAUAAGCUAAGUGAAGUAACCCAAAUUUUAUCUCGUUUCAUAAGUUGCCCAUAGUGGUGUAGCAAGGUUACAUUCAAUGUAGGGGAACUCGAAUAACCUGGAAAGAAGGCUUAUGCUGUUUCCUCAAGUUUUUAAGUCUCCACAAAAAGGGCUGCAAGUUGUUAGCUGUCUUGUUUAACCAGUUGUGUUGAUGCAGAAGGAGGACUUGCGUGACUGGGGGAGUUUUGUGGGUGAUUUGAAGCUCAAAAACUUUGACAAUGUAAAUGUGGUAGAAUGCAGAUGAUGGUAUUAAAGUGAUAUGCCCCUUCAUGUCCCAAAAGGGCAGUUAACCAAAAAAAGCAAAUUUAAUGAAGAUUCUCCAAUAUUUUGACUAUUAAAUGGGACUGACUCACAAGACCCAGCUCCGGGGCUUUCUACAUAGAUAGAGUAUGAGCUGUUUCCUUGCACUGAUCUGCAGUUACUCAAUACAGUGUUUCAGGUUGUACAGAAUAGUUAGGAUAUUCUAUUAAAAAUUGUGCAACGUUAAA